AGCUUUAAUUAUCUUUUCAUACUCGGUAGAUUCUUCGUUUAAUGUUAUACUUGAAUAAUAUUGUUUAAGAUAUUUUAAAUUAAUACCUUGAUCCCUAGGUUGACCAGAAGUCUCUCCCGUAGUUGUGUUUUCACACAAAAGGGCGCCCAAUAAUUCAUCGCAUAUAUAGUUAUCUUGGUUAACUCUACCAUUUACAACCUUACCAUCGAUACAUAGACCUAACAACAUAUA
rnacentral:lncRNA from 1 species